ACCAGAAUUUGCAAGUCAUGUGC
rnacentral:siRNA from 1 species